UGCGAUGAUGGUGUAAUUUGCGUCCGACUCUGUGGUCAGCGACAGAUGCCUGCUGUCUAGUUCUGGCACGGAGUGAUGACGAUAAUGGUGACUGAGCG